GAUGGACGCUGGCGGCGUGCCUAAUACAUGCAAGUCGAGCGAACGGACGAGAAGCUUGCUUCUCUGAUGUUAGCGGCGGACGGGUGAGUAACACGUGGAUAACCUACCUAUAAGACUGGGAUAACUUCGGGAAACCGGAGCUAAUACCGGAUAAUAUUUUGAACCGCAUGGUUCAAAAGUGAAAGACGGUCUUGCUGUCACUUAUAGAUGGAUCCGCGCUGCAUUAGCUAGUUGGUAAGGUAACGGCUUACCAAGGCAACGAUGCAUAGCCGACCUGAGAGGGUGAUCGGCCACACUGGAACUGAGACACGGUCCAGACUCCUACGGGAGGCAGCAGUAGGGAAUCUUCCGCAAUGGGCGAAAGCCUGACGGAGCAACGCCGCGUGAGUGAUGAAGGUCCUCGGAUCGUAAAACUCUGUUAUUAGGGAAGAACAUAUGUGUAAGUAACUGUGCACAUCUUGACGGUACCUAAUCAGAAAGCCACGGCUAACUACGUG
rnacentral:rRNA from 1 species